AAUUUUGGACACUGGGCGCAAGCCUGAUCCAGCCGUGCCGCGUGAUUGAAGAAGGCCUUCGGGUUGUAAAUCUCUUUCGGCCGAAAAGAAAUCGCGCAGGCUAAUACCCUGCCCGGAUGACGGUACCGUCAUAUGAACCCCCGCCCACCUACGUGCCCGCUGCCGCGGUAAUACGUAGGGUGCGAGCGUUAAUCGGAAUUACUGGGCGUAAAGAGUGCGCAGGCGGUUGAUUAAGACAGGCGUGAAAGCCCCGGGCUUAACCUGGGAACUGCGCUUGUGACUGGUCAGCUAGAGUACGGCAGAGGGGGGUGGAAUUCCACGUGUAGCAGUGAAAUGCGUAGAGAUGUGGAGGAACACCGAUGGCGAAGGCAGCCCCCUGGGCCGAUACUGACGCUCAUGCACGAAAGCGUGGGUAGCAAACAGG
rnacentral:rRNA from 1 species